GGGGUCAUAGCUCAGUUGGUAGAGCGCUUGCAUGGCAUGCAAGAGGUCGGGAGUUCGACCCUCCCUGGCUCCA
rnacentral:tRNA from 1 species